CAUGAGAACACUCCCAGAAGAGGCCGGGGCCCUGGGGGGGAAGGAAGACCUGAGAACACGCGCAUCGCUGGGAGUGAACAGGGAAUGCCACUUGGAUUUGCUAAAGCACUUUUUACUGUGAAGUAUAACUUCUUGUUGUGGAGUGUCCUGGGGCCUGCACAACACUGGGGGUACUCAGCACGGCGGAGAUUUGCCCUCUCACAGCUCUGGGGGCUCUGGGGCCGGAGUCUGAGGUCCAGGUGCAGAUCUAGGGGCUCCUUCCCGCCUCCGCCAGCUUCUGGGGGCUCCAGGCGUCCUUUGUCCCCCAGGAAGAACUCCAGGUCACAGAGGCUAUAUUCCUUCUAGAACAUUAGUGGCAGUCUUAAGGAGUCCUUUAGCUGAAGAUGGAACUGAAUGGAAGGGAGGAGAGCCCUGUUUGGUCUGGUGUGACCUUGCCACCAGGGGACAUGUUCCAGUGCCCCCCUGCCGUCCUUGACCUAGGGACCUGCAGCUUUGGUUCUCCAGAAGUCUGUUCUUCACAGGGGAGAAGAGGUGCCACAGGGGCUCCCUUCAACUUGGGCCUCUCCUCACAUCCCUCCUGGUCACCCACGUGGGAAAGAGAUGCCCCACCUGGGCCGGCCCCGCAUCGGUCACAGAUUCCUCAUUGUAACCGUCAACUGCUGCCGAGAGAUGUCAGAGAGCUACAGCCAGGAAGGUGAGACCCUGCCCCAGGCCUCUUACGCAGCUCUUGUGAUCCGCGAUAAGGGUCUGUCUGUCUGUCUGUCCGGGGUGCCUGACGCAUCUGUGAGUGCCCCAGGGGGAGUCAAGAGCCCCCUCUGCUGUUUUCCCGGAUGGGCACACGUUCCAGGGUCUCUCCUUCAUACUUCCACUUUCUGUCUCUGUGUUUUUUUCCAGGGAAGGGAGUCUCUUAUCAGCAGACGCCACGUUCAGGACACAGGUGAUGAAGCAAAUGAAAUAAAGGGCUAUGUGAACAUACGGAAUCAGAAAGAACCAGCCAACAGUCCUACCAAGAAACAAGUAUACGUUUUAUUGUCGAGAAACAUUCUCUUAAAUAACAGCGUCCACUUCUUUCCUUACCGAAACGGCUCCGGAUGA
rnacentral:lncRNA from 1 species